rnacentral:rRNA from 1 species
CCCCGUACACAAAAAUGCACAUGCUGUGAGCUCGAUGAGUAGGGCGGGACACGUGGUAUCCUGUCUGAAUAUGGGGGGACCAUCCUCCAAGGCUAAAUACUCCUGACUGACCGAUAGUGAACCAGUACCGUGAGGGAAAGGCGAAAAGAACCCCGGCGAGGGGAGUGAAAAAGAACCUGAAACCGUGUACGUACAAGCAGUGGGAGCACGCUUAGGCGUGUGACUGCGUACCUUUUGUAUAAUGGGUCAGCGACUUAUAUUCUGUAGCAAGGUUAACCGAAUAGGGGAGCCGAAGGGAAACCGAGUCUUAACUGGGCGUUAAGUUGCAGGGUAUAGACCCGAAACCCGGUGAUCUAGCCAUGGGCAGGUUGAAGGUUGGGUAACACUAACUGGAGGACCGAACCGACUAAUGUUGAAAAAUUAGCGGAUGACUUGUGGCUGGGGGUGAAAGGCCAAUCAAACCGGGAGAUAGCUGGUUCUCCCCGAAAGCUAUUUAGGUAGCGCCUCGUGAAUUCAUCUCCGGGGGUAGAGCACUGUUUCGGCAAGGGGGUCAUCCCGACUUACCAACCCGAUGCAAACUGCGAAUACCGGAGAAUGUUAUCACGGGAGACACACGGCGGGUGCUAACGUCCGUCGUGAAGAGGGAAACAACCCAGACCGCCAGCUAAGGUCCCAAAGUCAUGGUUAAGUGGGAAACGAUGUGGGAAGGCCCAGACAGCCAGGAUGUUGGCUUAGAAGCAGCCAUCAUUUAAAGAAAGCGUAAUAGCUCACUGGUCGAGUCGGCCUGCGCGGAAGAUGUAACGGGGCUAAACCAUGCACCGAAGCUGCGGCAGCGACACUAUGUGUUGUUGGGUAGGGGAGCGUUCUGUAAGCCUGUGAAGGUGUGCUGUGAGGCAUGCUGGAGGUAUCAGAAGUGCGAAUGCUGACAUAAGUAACGAUAAAGCGGGUGAAAAGCCCGCUCGCCGGAAGACCAAGGGUUCCUGUCCAACGUUAAUCGGGGCAGGGUGAGUCGACCCCUAAGGCGAGGCCGAAAGGCGUAGUCGAUGGGAAACAGGUUAAUAUUCCUGUACUUGGUGUUACUGCGAAGGGGGGACGGAGAAGGCUAUGUUGGCCGGGCGACGGUUGUCCCGGUUUAAGCGUGUAGGCUGGUUUUCCAGGCAAAUCCGGAAAAUCAAGGCUGAGGCGUGAUGACGAGGCACUACGGUGCUGAAGCAACAAAUGCCCUGCUUCCAGGAAAAGCCUCUAAGCAUCAGGUAACAUCAAAUCGUACCCCAAACCGACACAGGUGGUCAGGUAGAGAAUACCAAGGCGCUUGAGAGAACUCGGGUGAAGGAACUAGGCAAAAUGGUGCCGUAACUUCGGGAGAAGGCACGCUGAUAUGUAGGUGAAGCGACUUGCUCGUGGAGCUGAAAUCAGUCGAAGAUACCAGCUGGCUGCAACUGUUUAUUAAAAACACAGCACUGUGCAAACACGAAAGUGGACGUAUACGGUGUGACGCCUGCCCGGUGCCGGAAGGUUAAUUGAUGGGGUUAGCGCAAGCGAAGCUCUUGAUCGAAGCCCCGGUAAACGGCGGCCGUAACUAUAACGGUCCUAAGGUAGCGAAAUUCCUUGUCGGGUAAGUUCCGACCUGCACGAAUGGCGUAAUGAUGGCCAGGCUGUCUCCACCCGAGACUCAGUGAAAUUGAACUCGCUGUGAAGAUGCAGUGUACCCGCGGCAAGACGGAAAGACCCCGUGAACCUUUACUAUAGCUUGACACUGAACAUUGAGCCUUGAUGUGUAGGAUAGGUGGGAGGCUUUGAAGUGUGGACGCCAGUCUGCAUGGAGCCGACCUUGAAAUACCACCCUUUAAUGUUUGAUGUUCUAACGUUGACCCGUAAUCCGGGUUGCGGACAGUGUCUGGUGGGUAGUUUGACUGGGGCGGUCUCCUCCUAAAGAGUAACGGAGGAGCACGAAGGUUGGCUAAUCCUGGUCGGACAUCAGGAGGUUAGUGCAAUGGCAUAAGCCAGCUUGACUGCGAGCGUGACGGCGCGAGCAGGUGCGAAAGCAGGUCAUAGUGAUCCGGUGGUUCUGAAUGGAAGGGCCAUCGCUCAACGGAUAAAAGGUACUCCGGGGAUAACAGGCUGAUACCGCCCAAGAGUUCAUAUCGAC